GAUUCCACCGGCCCCACCCUAUCAUGUGACUUAAUCGCUGAUACAUGUUGGUCGGUGUUCCAACUUUCAUCCUCCCCUGUAAUGGUUCUCAAGAUCUGGAGAGGUCGUGGUGUGUUUUGUUUUGUCUUCGCCUCUCCCACCAGGGCGAAACUGGACCUUGAUUCCCCGCCUCUGAACCCGCCCUGAACACACACCUGUGGCUCAUUCACACUGAUCCUGGCAGACUACUUAAGAUGGCAAGAGAGGCUGCUUCCUUGCUGGAUCCUCACACUACCUAGCGCCUUCUAGAUUCCCUGCCCGUCUUCCCUGCCAUCUGGAUCUCUGUGGAUGUGUAGUCCUGCGAGUGAGUCCUCUGCCUAAUAAUCUGUGACAGAACGAUCCAGCCAUUAUGCACUCAGCAGAUUCUGACCCUGUUCAAUGGGCUCUCCUCACUCAGGAAGCCCUACUGGAGCGGCACGAGAAGAUGCUCCACCAUAUUAAUAAAGAGCUCUCCGCCCUCACACAGGCUCUCGCCCAGCGCACACCCCUGGUAAGCCCACCCUCUCCGAGCGUAAAUCCAUCUCCGCGUGCAAGUCCCUCUCCAUCUCCGAGUCCCCAGGCCGCUGCUACACCCCCCAACCCUCCCGCUGCCUGGCUAGAAGCCCCGGGGAGGACGAUGCCAAGUCCCGAGCCGUUUACAGGUGAGCUGGAGAAAUGUUCAGAUUUUCUUGCACAAGUCUCCCUGUUUUUCCGCCAGCAGAA